CACCUGUGCACUUCUGUAGGCCACCCAGCCAAAAGCCUUCCUGGCAUGCGGCUGGAACACAGUGGUCUACGUUUUCUCAUCAACUCCAAUGAAUGUGUAGAGUGUAGAACAAGGUCCAUAAUGGCCUUAUAAAAUCUAAUACAACUUUCAACAACGGAUCUCUUGGCUCUCGCAUCGAUGAAGAACGCAGCGAAAUGCGAUAAGUAAUGUGAAUUGCAGAAUUCAGUGAAUCAUCGAAUCUUUGAACGCACCUUGCGCUCCUUGGUAUUCCGAGGAGCAUGCCUGUUUGAGUGUCAUUAAAUCAUCAACCCCCACUCCCUUGUGGUAUGGGGUGUUUGGACUUGGAGAUUGCAGGCCCACCAGCUGGGCCAGCUCCUCUGAAAUGCAUUAGCAGAGCCCAUCAUGUGCAUCUGUGGCUUGGUGUGAUAGUAAAUCUAUACCUAGCAAUGUUGUGCAUCG
rnacentral:rRNA from 1 species